rnacentral:rRNA from 1 species
CCUACGGGAGGCAGCAGUGGGGGAUCUUGCACAAUGGGGGAAACCCUGAUGCAGCGACGCCGCGUGUGGGCAGACGGUCCUCUGGAUUGUAAACCACUGUCCCCAGGGACGAAGAUGACGGUACCUGACUAAGAAGCCCCGGCUAACUACGUGCCAGCAGCCGCGGUAAUACGUAGGGGUCAAGCGUUAUCCGGAUUUACUGGGUGUAAAGGGAGCGUAGACGGCUUGGCAAGCCAGAUGUGAAAGGCUGGGGCUCAACCCCAGGACUGCAUUUGGAACUGUCAUGCUAGAGUGUCGGAGAGGCAGGCGGAAGUCCUAGUGUAGCGGUGAAAUGCGUAGAUAUUAGGAGGAACACCAGUGGCGAAGGCGGCCUGCUGGACGAUGACUGACGUUGAGGCUCGAAAGCGUGGGGAGCAAACAGGAUUAGAUACCCCAGUAGUC